rfam:Haloferax sp. SB29 contig_7, whole genome shotgun sequence.
CCCGUCACGAACGGGACGAAAUGUGGUCUUCGGGAAUUUCCCGAUGAGGAUGAAUCCUCACACGGACUGAAUCGCAAG